rnacentral:misc_RNA from 1 species
AAGUCGUAACAAGGUCUCCGUUGGUGAACCAGCGGAGGGAUCAUUAAAGAGUUGUGAACGAACCUUUCUGCUCAGGCGAGCGGCGCUCUGUCGCUGCAAGCCGAAGGCAGUAAACUCUUAAUUCAGUGAAUGUCUGAGUUGCUUAUUUAAUAAGUCAAAACUUUCAACAACGGAUCUCUUGGUUCUG